rnacentral:rRNA from 1 species
UGCCAGCCGCCGCGGUAAUACGGAGGGUGCGAGCGUUAAUCGGAUUUACUGGGCGUAAAGCGCACGUAGGUGGUUUUGUAAGUUGGAUGUGAAAGCCCUGGGCUUAACCUGGGAACUGCAUCCAAAACUGCAGGGCUAGAGUACGGUAGAGGGGGGUAGAAUUUCCGGUGUAGCGGUGAAAUGCGUAGAGAUCGGAAGGAAUACCAGUGGCGAAGGCGGCCCCCUGGACUGAUACUGACACUGAGGAGCGAAAGCGUGGGGAGCAAACAGGAUUAGAUA